UACAGAGGUCUCAAGCGUUGUUCGGAUUCAUUGGGCGUAAAGGGUGCGUAGGUGGCGCCGUAAGUCAGGUGUGAAAUUUCGGAGCUUAACUCCGAAACUGCAUUUGAUACUGCGGUGCUUGAGGACUGGAGAGGAGACUGGAAUUUACGGUGUAGCAGUGAAAUGCGUAGAGAUCGUAAGGAAGACCAGUGGCGAAGGCGGGGUCUCUGGGACAGUUC
rnacentral:rRNA from 1 species